UACGGAGGGUGCGAGCGUUGUCCGGAAUCAUUGGGCGUAAAGGGCGCGUAGGUGGCACGAUCAGCGUGCGGUGAAAGCUCGGGGCUCAACCCCGGGUCGGCCGUGCGAACUAUCGAGCUGGAGCACUGUAGAGGCAGGCGGAAUUCCGGGUGUAGUGGUGAAAUGCGUAGAGAUCCGGAGGAACCCCAGAGGCGAAGGCGGCGUCCUGGCUCACAACUGACGCUCAUACACGACAGCAUGGGGAGCGAACGGG
rnacentral:rRNA from 1 species